rnacentral:rRNA from 1 species
UACAGAGGUCCCAAGCGUUGUUCGGAUUCAUUGGGCGUAAAGGGUGCGUAGGUGGUGAGGUAAGUCGGAUGUGAAAUCUCCAAGCUCAACUUGGAAACUGCAUUGGAAACUACCUUGUUAGAGGAUUUGAGGGGGGAUUGGAAUACUUGGUGUAGCAGUGAAAUGCGUAGAUAUCAAGUGGAACACCAGUGGCGAAGGCGAAUCCCUGGAAAAUACCUGACACUGAGGCACGAAAGCUAGGGGAGCAAACAGG